rnacentral:rRNA from 1 species
GCGAACGCUGGCGGCAGGCCUAACACAUGCAAGUCGAGCGGCCGUAGCAAUACGGCAGCGGCAGACGGGAUAGUAACACGUGGGAACGUGCCCUUUGGUUCGGAAUAACUCGGCGAAAGCCGUGCUAAUACCGGAUAAGCCCUUACGGGGAAAGAUUUAUCGCCAUUUGAGCGGCGCGCGUCUGAUUAGCUAGUUGGUGAGGUAAUGGCUCACCAAGGCGACGAUCAGUAGCUGGUCUGAGAGGAUGAUCAGCCACACUGGGACUGAGACACGGCCCAGACUCCUACGGGAGGCAGCAGUGGGGAGUAUUGGACAAUGGGGGCAACCCUGAUCCAGCAAUGCCGCGUGAGUGAUGAAGGCCUUAGGGUUGUAAAGCUCUUUCGACGGGGAAGAUGAUGACGGUACCCGUAGAAGAAGCCCCGGCUAACUUCGU